CUAUCCACGUCAGUUGAUAUAUUCAGCCAAUCAAAAAGUAUUAUUCUGCUACGUCAUACAAGGUUUCAAAUCGACUAAUAUAAAACCGGGCCAGAUGUCUGGGCCACUAAUAAUAUCCAGUGCUAAUAUGAAGCCCAUCUCAGUAAUACCAAAUCUCCGAUAAAAACCAUUGUCGUGGCUUUUUUCUAGACUCUUCUUCUUCUUCUUCGCUGUGUGAACGCUCACGGUCCAGAUCCUCCUCUCAAUUGAUGAUUCUGAGAAACGUCUGCAACUAUGACAUUCAAUCAACUACGACCAGUUCUUGAGCUUCAAUUCAUCGAUACAAUUUUUUCUAGGCUCUCUCUUUCUGCCGUCCAGUUUUCUCUUGGAGAUGUCAAAUCUGUACCCUCCGUGGAGAUUUCCUUUAAUCUUGCUAGAGAUUUACUGGUGAUUUGGCAAGGAAGAGCCAAAGACUCGCGGUUAACAGAUGAGAGCUAAGAAACAGAGGAUGUCGACCAUUGAGAUCAGAAGAGAUUGAUUCAUUCCUUUUACCUCCAGGUUGCUCCUAGAUAUGUCACGUUAUACUUUACCAGAUCUUUUGCUCUCGAUGCAGGGUAGACAUCUCUUAGUUAUACUACUUUUUCAAAAAAAAAGUGUCCUUUGUUAAUGUAGAGAUAUUACUGGUCUUAGAUUUGGUUGUCGUAGGGUCUUGAAGAAAACAACAAGGGCUGAAGCAUUAAGCAUAGAAACAAGGGGUUAUUGUAUAUUUCUUCAACUCUAUGACUAUGUUCUGUACUGAACGAUAUUGUAUUCGAAAGGUCUGACUUUUCUAAAAAAAUGUAUCUUGGCGUACAAGAACCUGUGUGUUUGUACAUGCUGAGCAUUCUAUUGACUCGUCACUUGCUAGGGUAAUCUGUAUAAACACAGAAAAUAUACUUCUAUCACAGCCUAAUUGGCGCGAACAAGCCCUUAGUCGUGUGGAUUCUUUAAUCCGAAGUGGUUCGGUUGAUGUUAUUGUUCCUGACAGUGUAAUUUAGGUGAUUCAUAUGUGAUUAAUAAUGGAUCGAUGAGUUUGGUCGGAGAUAUUUCUCUCCUCAUGUUUUUGUGUUAUUUUUUUUUAAACAGGAGCACUUGAGUAUAAGAUGGGCGAUGCUCAUAUGAUUAUCCAAGCCGCUACGUGUCUUGAACUUCAAAGCAUGGUAGUAUUGAAAAGAAAAGGCUCGCCAAGGUAAUAAAGAAAACAGUAAAAACUCGAGGAAGAGACGUCACUAACCAAUCUCAGAGUCAGUACGUUAGAGCAGAUACCAGAUUAUGAAAGAGUGUUUUGUGGAGUAGAUAGCUGGAGUCAUCGUAGAAUUUGUAAUCAGCGGAUGAUAUAACACAUCGUGGUCUGGGUUAAAAGAAGCUAAAUGAGAAACUAUCUAUACCAAAGAAUUUUUCACAAUUGGCUUCAUUCAGUUACGAUGUUUUAUUGCAAAAGGACUUGGCGAGGAGCAGGAGGCUCACCUUUUAAUUGCCAUGGAACAUAGAGAAAGUUUGUAUCAAACAAAUAGUUAGCAUGAUGAAUACUUUAAUGGUUGGUGCAGCAGAUCUUGAAGCCUGCUUUGGACAAUGAUUGUGGCACACUCAGGAUGAUCUGCACGUUGGACUCUAAGACCUACAAGUCUUUCUGAAACCAGUGUACAACUCUAAGUGAAUUGUUACCAGGAUAUUUGAUCGAUAUGGUCAAUAAAUACCAGAAGCUAAGGACACGCCUUUUUACCAUACAUGCAAACAUGUUUCUACUAUUUAAUACCUUGCUUUUCCUGCUCGACUGAAGCUCCAAACUCACAGAAGAGGUUCUGAAAAGAAAGUGGCUGGUGGUUAGUGAAAACACUAAAGUGAUGCUGGAAUCAUCAGUCCAACAAGACUUGGGGAGCAGUCAAAACUCUUUUAAUUUUUGUACAAUGCAUUGUCUCUGUGAUCUUCCUGAUGCACAAAGACGUCAAAGUCAUCCUCUGAUCUUGACAGUAAAGGAAAACAUAUGAGAAAACCACAGAAGAGCAACUUAGGAUUGCAUCUAAUAGCUUAGUAAGCUGUGCAACUGUAUAAUGAUUUGUGCUCUUGGUUGUAAGAAAUAUAUGAUUUUUCUUUUUUUUUUUACUUGGGAAAACACCAACUUAAGUACACAAUUUUGAUAAAAAUAUGACUUUUCUUUGAUUACUUGAGAAAGCACCAACUUAAGUACACAAUUUUGAUACACAAUACGAAAGCUCUGAUUCAUGGCUCGAACAUGUUCCAUGACUAGCUGCAGGUCCACGCCAAGUGUGCUUUCUAAAGGCCAUGAGUUCACGCAAUAUUUUUUUCUGUUGCCCGCCCCACAAGUUUCUAAUUCAGAAACAUAACAAAAGAGGUAUCUGUUGGAAACUCAAAAACUAAUUAGAUUUUUUUUUUUCAUAAGAAACUAAUUAGAUAUAACAAGUAAAAUAAUAAAUAUUUAGUGAAAAUACUUUAUUAACUUCAACUUGGUAAAAAAAAAUUUAGCAAAUAGCAAAUUAGAUAAUUGUAUAUUAGAUAAUCUAAAAUACAUAAAUUUCAAAUAUAGAUAGAAAAAAACCACAAAAAAAUAUUUAUGGUAUUGUUCUUCAAAUUUCAUAAAACCUAGAACCAUGAAAAAUAAUAAAAGGGAAUCUCCCAUAUAUUUCUUUUGUUACCAAGUUCAAGCAUAGACAAAUUUACCAGAAAAUGAUAGAAACCAUAAUAAAUUAGUAAUAUGCAAUCAAAAUAACUUUUUUUACAAAAAACAGCUAAAACAUUAUAUAUAAGGAAUAAAAAUAUAUAAAAAUUGACAAAAAUCCAUAUUGAAUUUGUGCUUGGUAAACGAUUUAGUCAACAAAAAUAUUAAUUUAGUGAAAAUAUAUAAUAUAAUCUAAAAAUAUUACUUCAAAAAUAAAUAGAAAAAAUUCAUACGACAAAAAAAUAUUUUGAAGAGGAGAGUUCAAGAUCAGUAAAGCUUAUAUGGUCAAAUUUGGAUGGAAACUAAGCAAAAUAAAAGCAAACAAAUAGUGAAUGCAAAAUAAAAAGCAAACAAAUAAUGAAAGCUCAUCAAUAAACCUUUCCACAGGAUUAAAAUAAUCAAACUAUCAUGUUAAAGUUAAACCUUUCCAACAAUUCUAACUCGGAUGAAAGUAUUGACAUUUAUGAUGGGAACUCUUUAGACAAAAAUCAAGUUGUCUAUUUCAAAACAAGAUGAAGCAUUCUCUGCAGGUAAAGAAAACGUGGCAAGAGGCAACCAAGUGAAGCGCGCCCAGGAUGGUUGGGAAUCUUCUUUAUGAGGUAAGUCCAGUGUCAGCUGCACUCUCUGUUGGGAGACGAGAGGUCUAUGCUCUGUUUGUUGAAGAAGCUUUGGAUUUUAGCAGUAUCCAUAGGAAAAAGGAAACCAGGAAAAGUUUCGAGAAAGUCAUCAAACUCUCUGAAAAACUCAAGUAAACUUCAAAGCAUGAUCUUAACAUGGUUGCUGAUAAGAGAUACUUUGUUUGAGUUUAAUACUGAUUUCAGACUGAUGGAACAUGAACAAAAAUGAUAUGGAUUGAUAUCUUUUUAGUAGCGUAAGAUCAAGAAAUCUGCUUCGGGGGGGGGGGGGGAUGUUUCAUAACCGAUGGAAACUUUUAAUGCAAUGCAUGUGCAGGAGUGACAGAGUGAGAGUACAUACUCUUUGGAUUAUAUGCAAUGCAUGUGUAUGAAUGAGUAGCUUUGUAUGUAUUUUAAAUUCCAUUACUCUAUUUCAUACUUAGGAUCUAUGGUGAGAGUCAAUUUUUUUUACACUGAGGAUUUCCUUCAACCAUGGAAAAUUACAGAGAAAGUAUACAUAUUUGAGUGAUGUAUAUAACAGAUAAAUCUAAAAUUCUCAUAAUGGGUAAAAAUAUGAAUCCCAAUUAUUCGUCCCAUCCAUCCACACAUAUUAUACACACACAUCCAAGAUAAAGUGUCUCGGUUUCUGUCAUUUAGCUUGAAUCGUCCUUAUUACUAUCCCUAAAGAAUUAUUUAUUUUGGUUUUAUCAUUGCAUGUAUAACAAUAACCAAUAUACUACCGAGACGACAAAUUUGACAAAUUUGAUUUUGAAGUAACAUAAAUUCAUAGUUUGAUUUUCUUUUAAUUUGAAUAGAAUUUUGUUUAAGUUUCUCAUGUUUAAAAUGCAUAUAAUUUAGUUUGGUCUUAAACAUGACUAAUUAUAUAUUAGAUACAAAAUUUGUACUAAUCUCUGGAAUGGUUUAGAAAAAGGUUCUGUUUUCCUAUCUUACAUAAAUAGAAAAAAUGAAUUCAAUAUUACAACAAAAUCAAGCUCUAAUCAGACACACGUCAUAAUGCAUCCAUUUUUUUUUAAUUCAUCUCAUAGUCUUAUACUAAAUGGCCAUCGUCGCCUACUCGCCUUCAAGCAUAACAUCAUGUUCCGCCAAAGAUCAUGAAGACGAUCAGCUUGAAUUUAACGUCAUGGUAUUGGAAUCAACAGAGAAUCUUAAGAACUCAUAAAAAAUACAAAAAAACUAUCUUAACAUUUUUAUCAAACAAAUAACAAACAACUUAGACAAAUGGUAGAGCUAGACCUAGGCACAGUCUUUACAUCAUAGAUGAGGCUGGAAAGAAAAAAAAUUAACAAAUGAAGUAACUAUGAAAAAGUGCAACAAUACAUUCAGAAAAAAGAUUAUGGCCGAAAAUGAAAAUAAAUAAAUAAAUAAAUAAGAUGAACCAAAAGUUAGAAAAAAAAGACAUUUAAAAUUGGUUCAAAUAAAUAAUUUAGAUGGAAAUUUAUGACAGAAACAGAAUAAUAAAAUCACUAUAAUUAUAUUCCCAAAAGUUAACACCAAUGAUAACUUCACGAAAAUCAGUAAAAUAUCAUCACAUAAAUAUUAAUCAUUGUUGUAUCAAUCAUUCCCCCCAAAACAAUUACAUACAAUAACAACAAAAUAAUAUUAAUGUACAAGUCAAACAUUAAAUAAUGACAUGUAUCUGCAAAAAUCUGAACCAUAAACACAUAAAACAAGCAGUCGAAAGAGCUAGCUUGACAAACAUUUUUAUGUGAUACAUGAGAAAUCUAUAUACCAACAAUUAAUCGACUGUUUAGAAGUGUUAAA